rnacentral:rRNA from 1 species
UACGUAGGGUGCAAGCGUUGUCCGGAAUUAUUGGGCGUAAAGAGCUCGUAGGCGGUUCGUCGCGUCGGCUGUGAAAACCCGGAGCUCAACUCCGGGCCUGCAGUCGAUACGGGCGGACUUGAGUGCUGCAGGGGAGACUGGAAUUCCUGGUGUAGCGGUGAAAUGCGCAGAUAUCAGGAGGAACACCGGUGGCGAAAGCGGCGCACUGGACCACAACUGACGCUGAGGCGCGAAAGCUAGGGGAGCAAACAGG